CUUUCCUCCACUUCCUUCUGCUUCAGGUGACUCUUGGAGAAGAUGACCCGUAGGGUGAAGGAAGGUCCAGGCUUCUCUGCAUCUUCCCCAAACUCCUGGCAAGAAAAAAUAGGAAGGGCCCUCCCUGUCCAUUACGGAGUCUCCACUUUCUAGCCUUGGACAUGAGGAAAUGACUCAACUCCUCGGUCAACCAGGCUCCAGAAUGUGUCCUUCAGCGAUUGUCUUUCAAGGCCCAACUCAAGUCCCACUUCUUCUAAGCCAACUUCCCUUCUUAUAUACUCUGAGGUCAGGGAGCUUAUUUGAAUCAACUCUGUGUCCUCUUCUGACAAAGGAACAGACUUGAAUUAAGUACAAAGUAAGUGUGAAAUGAAAGGAAGGAAGGGAGGGAAUGGGGGAGGGAGAGAGAGAGGCAGUGAGAGAGAGAGAAGAAGCAAGGAAGAACAAAAGAAGGAAGCACGCAGACAAGCCCAAUGCUGAUUGAACUCAAGCCCCUUUGGAGUCCUGUAGAAUAUUUCUGAAGCAGAUCUAGCUGGUUAUAAUAAAUGGCCUUGUGUUAUUUGCUAUAGUGUCA
rnacentral:lncRNA from 1 species